CGCCCCAGGUCAUUAUGGCCAGCAUCACCACGAGAACACCAAUCAGAUUCACCCCGAAUCCUGCCUUCACCUGAGACAGACGACAACAACACUGGGCCCCCAUACUACACAAUGAGGAUGAGGAAGUGAUUUGCUGUUUUGAGUGCAAUACCAAAAGGUAGCUACGUACUUCUCGAACAGCGACGUCCACCCGGGUACGAAGCCCGGUUCUCUGGUGAACCACAGCAGAGUCAUCAGGAUGAAGAACACUCCUGUCACCACCUCUGGGUAGCUACAGCCCAGAAGAAACAACACACAGAAUGGGAUUGGGUCAACUUACUUCCCUUUUCAGUCAUCGCAGAGGCAUUACAAAGCAAUGGGACGGGACUUCUCAGGUUCUACCUAGAAAGCAUCCAUCCAUACGCUACUCCACAUAUGUAACAGUAUUGAGUGUGUUAUUUAGAGCGACCGAAAGGGGCGUACAUGUUAGAGUAUACCUCCUUAGAGGCCCCAAGUAUCCAGGGCAGCUUACUGUACAUACACAAGGAGUGUGGUAAAUACUGUAAAUGCUUAGAGAUCUGAUUUUACACUAAGAGAAGUGUUAAUUUGGCAGUAGUGGGAGUCAGGUGCUCAGAUGACCGUAUUUACAGUUGAACAAGAAUUAUGUGAAAGGAAUAUUUUUGGUUUGAAUGUACGUUUGUGUGUUUGUACACUGAACAAAAAUAUAAACGCAACAUGUAAAGUGUUGGUCCCAUGUUUCAUGACCUGAAAUAAAAGA